UCCAGUAAUGUAUUCGUACAUAGUGAUUUAAUGGAUUAUCUGAUUGUGCAGAGGGAUGAUGAGCCGCGCCGGUAUCCCUGAGAGGGUUACAGCUGCUGCUGGGCUGUCCUUCUUUCAUUUGAUGCGUCACCAGUGAUUGACAGGCGGUCACUCUCUGGAGGAGGCUCUAGUGGACUCCUCAAGGACCUGUGAAGAGAGAGAGAGAGAGGUCAGAGUGGACUCCUCAAGGGCCUGUGAAGAGAGAGAGAGAGGUCAGAGUGGACUCCUCAAGGACCUGUGGAGAGAGAGAGAGAGUUCAGAGUGGACUCCUCAAGGACCUGUGAAAAGAGAGAGAGGUCAACGUGGACUCCUCAGGGA
rnacentral:lncRNA from 13 species